rnacentral:lncRNA from 1 species
CCAAGGCAUAUGGAAGUUCCCAGGCCAGCAGUUGAAUCAGAGCUACAGCUCCUAGCCUAUGCCACAGCCAGAGCAACACAGGAUCUGAGCCAUAUCUGCAACCUACACCACAGCUCACUCAUGGAUACUACAUCCUCGUGGAUUCUAGUCGGAUUGUUUCUGCUGCGCCACAAUGGAAACUCCCAGCAUUUUUUCUAAUUAGUGUUUUUCUAUUCUUCAGAUAAAUAUCCAGAAGUGGAAUUGCUGGGUCAUAUGGUAGGAAUAUAAAUGGUGCAGCCACCGUCGGAAAGAGUCUGGAUGUUCCAUAAAAGAAUUUGAAAUAGAACUACCAGAUGAACUGUGAUGUUUUAACAUCUAACAACUUAAUUUGAGUUAGCCCUGUAGGUACCUACUAUUUUGAAGCAAAACAAACUACAGUAGGAAAUGAUCUGAAUGAUUCAGUGGGUAGGCAUUCUUCCACCUGGCUUAGCAAUAAAAUCAUGCCCCGAGAUGGCCUUUAGAAACAUGAAAUCUAGCUAAUUAUAGUUAUUCCAUGGUUAUAAAAGAAAUGUUAAUGGUAUAUCUUUUCUCUUGUGCUUAUUUACAAAGAAUUUAAAGCUUUAAGAAUUAUAUAAUGGUAUAGGAAACAAAAGUAAAUUGUUAAUUUUUAUUAAUAUAUCUUUAAUAAUUGAAGUAAAUUUUUAAUCCAAACAUUCAUUAGUCCAACUAAGAUUAGUUGAGUCCUACUUAGUUUCAAUAUUAAUGGCAUUUAUUUUUUGUUUAUAAAUCAAUUUUCUGUGCUUUUGUUGUACCUUUUAUUAUUGCACUUAUCAUAUUGUUGACACAAGUUAAAACUCCUUGAAUAUAGGGAUGCAGUGUCUUGGGAAUGCUGGGAUGUGGGUUUGAUCCCCAGCCUGGCACAGUGGGUUAAGGAUCUGGUAUUGCCACAGAGGCAUCUUGUGACUGUGGAUUGGAUCUGAUCCCUAGCCAGGGAACUCCAUGUGCCACGUGGUGAAAAAAUGAAAGGAAAAAAAAAAUCAAAAUUGUCUAGUUACAAAUAAAAACUAAAAGUCAUAAAGCACCAAUCAAUGAUUCAAUAUGAAAACAGUUGAUUAAAAAGAUACCCCUGUUCUCACAAAGUUAUCUUACUUCAGUAAAAUUUGGAGUAUUAUCAUUUGUAAGCUAAGAGUUCCAAUUGUUUUGGAAUUAUACUCAAAUAAUAUAAAACCAAAGAGGUAAAAAUUACUUAUUUAUCGUUUCAUUUUUAGUGAUCUUCGAAAAUGGCAGGAGUAAUUCCAUUCUACCUCAUGAAAAUAAAAAUGUGAAAAUUGGGCCGAGACCAAAAAAGAACAAAUAUCUGAGAUUGUUGGCUCUUUAACAUUUUGGUUAUUUUUAAAAACAAAGAUUAUUUAUAAAUUGUAAAUCUCCAGAGAAAUUAUAAAGAACCACACUUAAACUGACUAUUGCUAAAUCAUUGAGAUUACCAGAAUACCAUAUUUACAUAUCUGAAAUCACAAUCUAUGUGAUACAGAAAAUGUUGUUAUAAGUGUGUUUAGAAGUUCCCUUGCACCACAGAGGGUUAAGGAUCCAGCAUUGUCACUGUGGCAGCUCUGGUUGCUGCUGUGGCAUGGGUCCAUCCCUGGCCUGGCCUGGGAACAUCCCCAUGCUGUAGGCACAGCCAAAAAAAAAAAAAAAACUUUAAAAAGUAUUAUUAAAAGUUAUUUUGUCUCUGGCUCAUACUUUGACCAGGAAAUAAAUUAAUAUCGUAGGAAAUACAACUGCUAGUAUUUACUCUAUGAUAAAUAUAUUUUCAUUCAAGAGGGUCCAAAUCUUAUAGGAAGAUCAAUAUAUUCAGAAAGAUCCUUUUGACCUUAUUUAACUUAAUUACGCUUUCCUAUUAUGUACUUAGCAUAGGUAAAAAAGGGAAUAAUAAUACCAAGUUUGUACGGCUAUUUUGAUGAUUAAGUAAUAUAAUGUUUAAAAUAUGUCUGGCAAAGUACUUGUGCCCAAUAGCUUUCUCCUGUUUUGAAAUAUAACUCUUAUGGAAAAAAAGAACAAAUGAAUACCAAAAAUCUGGAUAUUCUAAGAGCUGACCACCUUUGUUCUUAUAAAUAUAUAAAAUAAACAACUUGGGAGCAAGUUUUUUUGGAAAGAUUACAAAUAUCAUCAGAGAGGUUAAGGAUAUCUAAUUACAAUUGAAAUAUAAGCAGAUAGUACCAGGGUCAAUUCCUGGUUUUAAUAAUGUAUAAUCAUUUUAUAGGAUGUUAACUACUGGGAGAAGCUGGGUGGAGUGUACUCAGGAACUCACUGUACUAUUAUUGCAACUUCUUGUGAGUCUUAAACCACUUCAAGAUUAAAAAAAGUUUUUAAAAAUUGCAACAAAAAUAAAAAAUUUUAAACAUGUAACUAUGAUUUCGCUAUGACAUAUAAAAUAUGUAGAAAUGAUUCCUAAAUAUUAUCAAAUAUCCAGUCAGUAUUCAACUUUUCCCAAGUGGCUCAUACUAUUUUUAGAGUUGGUUUACCAUAAUUAGAAACAAAAUACUGUCCACGCAUUGUAUUUGGUUGAUAUUUUUCUUAAUUCUGUUUUAAUCUUUUCUCUUUCUUUCUUUCUUUUUUGGUCACCCCUGCAGCAUGUGAAAGUUCCUGGGCCAGGGAUCAAACUUGCACCACAGCAGUGACAAUGCAAGGUCCUUAACCACUGAGCCACCAGGAAACUUCAUUCUCUUUCUUUUUCAAUAUUACAAUUUAUUAAUUGAACAAACCAGGCAGUAGUCCUAUAGUAUUUACUAUGACACCCACAAUGAUGGUAUUCCUAUGGUGCCAAUUAAUAUAUCCUCUGUCCUUCAUUUAAUACAUCCUACUCCUCUGUAUUUCCUAUAUUUCUGUUAGAAUACAGAUUUUGUCAGUUUCACAUUCAGUUUUUCACAAGAAUAUUGCAUAAGUGUUUAUAUUUAAGG